rnacentral:rRNA from 1 species
UACGGAGGGAGCUAGCGUUAUUCGGAAUUACUGGGCGUAAAGCGCACGUAGGCGGCUUUGUAAGUUAGAGGUGAAAGCCUGGAGCUCAACUCCAGAACUGCCUUUAAGACUGCAUCGCUUGAAUCCAGGAGAGGUGAGUGGAAUUCCGAGUGUAGAGGUGAAAUUCGUAGAUAUUCGGAAGAACACCAGUGGCGAAGGCGGCUCACUGGACUGGUAUUGACGCUGAGGUGGCGAAAGCGUGGGGAGCAAACGGG